CGUGUUGGCAGGUUUGAGGCUGAGCUGCGACAGGUUGCUGAGUGGAUACUGGAAAUCUGCCGGCAGCGUGGUUUUCUUGUUGCUGGUGUUCAGGGCAGAUUUACUGACGGUGGUUGCUGCCUGGAAAUGACAGGGCUCCUCCUGGAGCAGGCGUCUUUGUGCUCGUCAAAGUGAUCUCCGCAGUCUCCCGGCCCUCCGUCAUCUCCGUCCGCAUCGAACUGGUCCCCAAAAUCCGGUGCCUCGUCUGGUUCAAUGCCGGCAUUGACGUCGAAUGCGUGUUCGCCCUGCUUCAUUUUGUCCAGCAGCUGGUUCAAGUUAGUCGUCUGUGUAGAGGAACAAAGAUGAGACUUCAAGAAGAAUUCAAACAAUGUUGUUGUUUUAUGGACAAACAGCACCAGGAAGUAGUUGUGAUCUUUACAAGUCACUGGUGGAAUUUCCUUGUAAAUCGCUGGAUUACCUGCUCAGGUGUCCAUUGGGUGAAGGAGAAAUCUUGUAGAGAUGGGCAAAUGGGCAUCUUUUCCUCCAGCGUCUUUAAACUAACUGCAGGUACAGAAUAAAAAUCCCCAUUGA